rnacentral:lncRNA from 1 species
CCCUGGAGAAAACAGACCUGGAGUCAGUUGAGAGGACAUUGAGCUGUUCAGGCUGGGCCCCCCAUCUUAGACUACGUUCUGCCACUCCUAAGCAGCUGUGAGCAUUCCUCAAGCCUUUCACCCUGAGGAUGGAAUGUAGUCUAGGACCUCUCCAUUUCGUCUGCCCAAGUGGCUAACAAUGGGCCUUUACAUCUGCUGACUCUUCAAAUGAAAAACGUUCUACCUCCUGCCCAGAACAGUAGAAGGAAGGCACCAUUCUUCAUUUUGAUUGGGUGGACCUGAUCUAAUUUCCUUGAACAGCAGAGACCUUAUUUCAAGUGACCUAAGUCCUUAUGUAUCUCUUUUAGAAAAUCCAGUAGUUUUAUUUGUAUUCCUAAGGUCAAAGCAGUUUGGAGAAUAUUUACAGUUGAUG